rnacentral:rRNA from 1 species
AGAGUUUGAUCCUGGCUCAGAUUGAACGCUGGCGGAAUGCUUUACACAUGCAAGUCGAACGGCAGCACGGACUUCGGUCUGGUGGCGAGUGGCGAACGGGUGAGUAAUACAUCGGAACGUGCCCAGUCGUGGGGGAUAACGUAGCGAAAGCUACGCUAAUACCGCAUACGAUCUAAGGAUGAAAGCGGGGGAUCGCAAGACCUCGCGCGAUUGGAGCGGCCGAUGGCAGAUUAGGUAGUUGGUGGGGUAAAGGCUCACCAAGCCGACGAUCUGUAGCUGGUCUGAGAGGACGACCAGCCACACUGGGACUGAGACACGGCCCAGACUCCUACGGGAGGCAGCAGUGGGGAAUUUUGGACAAUGGGCGCAAGCCUGAUCCAGCCAUUCCGCGUGCAGGAUGAAGGCCCUCGGGUUGUAAACUGCUUUUGUACGGAACGAAAAGGCUCUGGUUAAUACCUGGGGCUCAUGACGGUACCGUAAGAAUAAGCACCGGCUAACUACGUGCCAGCAGCCGCGGUAAU